AGCAGUCGCCGCGGUAAAACGAAGGGGGCUAGCGUUGUUCGGAAUUACUGGGCGUAAAGGGCGCGUAGGCGGCCAUUCAAGUUAGAUGUGAAAGCCCUGGGCUCAACCUAGGAAUUGCAUUUGAUACUGUUUGGCUUGAGUUCGGGAGAGGUGAGUGGAAUUCCCAGUGUAGAGGUGAAAUUCGUAGAUAUUGGGAAGAACACCAGUGGCGAAGGCGGCUCACUGGACCGACACUGACGCUGAGGCGCGAAAGCGUGGGGAGCAAACAGGAUUAGAUACCCCGGUAGUCCCUGUCUCUUAUAC
rnacentral:rRNA from 1 species